GCAGGUCAGAAUGACCCUCCUUCUCUUCUUCUCCCUCCUCCCUCCAGUUCUUCCCGUCUCCCCCUCCUCAUCUGGCAGCCAUCCCCUCCACCCCUACUGUCCCCUCCUCCUUCUCUCCAGUUCCAUUCCUCCCUGCUCCCUCCCAUCCCCCAUGCCACCCUUUUAUCUUCCCCACCUCUUCUUCCUCCUCCUCCUCCUACUUUUCUCCUCCGAACUAAUUGCUUGAGGGGUGAAGACCAGGUCGACUUGUGAAAACUCUGAUCCAUCGCCAUGGUGAUGCUAAUUCAAGCUGAGUUCAAAGGAAAUUGUUCCAGUUAAAACUAACAAGCUGGAGCUGGGGCCCCAGGAAGGACUAGUGCCAGGAGUGAGCCCCGUGCCCAGGAAAAUAGGGACAGGCUCCUCACGCUCCUCCUCCGUUCUGUACCCUCCCCGCAGCCUCCAGAGCUGCCCACGCUGAGCGGAAACCUGAGAGGUCUGGACAGGGAGCCCCCGCCUCAGGCCAGGCUCCACCCAAGCCGCCGCCACAGCUGAGCGCAGUAAGCCUCUCGUAAAGGCCUUCCCCAGCCACACCUGCGGCUUUAACCGCCUUUGCUUUAGAAGGGUUCUUCACGGUUCACACAAACGCUUCCCACUGCUUUCUAACAAGCGUGGAUUUGAAAGUCCCAGAAGUGAAGUAACAGUGCCCCAUCCUGAGUGCACCCUCUGGGCCAGGGCUGCUCAGAGACUUCAUGUCUGAGAACUUGCUCCCAAGGGUGACUCGUGCUAUUACCCUUUUUGGGUUUCCAGGGAUGAGAAAGCUCCCAGGGGAAGAACCUGCUUAGAGCUUGAUUUGGGUCCAUCUAGGUCUAGUUAGUUUACGGAGCGGCCUUGAAUUGGGGGCAGAUGCUUAAACAGCGGAAAGGGGGAGGUCUCGGUUCCAAAGCACAAGCAUGUAACCUCCUGGGCCUUCAGUUGGUGGGUCCUUCCUUCUGUGGCCCCCACAGCACGUGGCCUGGACGUCCUUCCUUCUGUCUGGGAUCACGUCCCCGUCAGACUGGGCGGCUUUACUGUGAGGGUGGGAACCCUGCCUUGUUUCUCUGAGCACAGGACUGGCUCAGAGUGGGCCUUGUGAACUGCUACCUACUGGUAGGCACACCGAAUGGGAACCCCUGUCCCUCAGGAGGGAGAAAUUGAGGUCCACCAGGUGCAGGGAACCCCAGCAGCCCGGUCUGGGGAGCUCGGUCUCAAGGAGGGCACCUGAAGACCAGCAGGAGCAGCCUUGCUUGGAUGACUUCUCGGUUCUAAUCCAUUGGCAGAGGCCAUCGUGGGAAUCUUUCCUUGGCAGCUGUCACCUCUCCACGCUGACCUUCCAGAAGACUUCACUCCCUUGUUCAACUGUUUUUUUUUUCCUUCACCCUUUACUUUAUGACCAGUAAAGAGACACUAGUCGAGCAAUUCCUUGAAGGCAAAGCUAGUAUUGGUGCUUCCCUCAGAGCCCUGGUAAUACAAAGUGCAGUGCAGUCCUGUGAAGCUCCUAUGAGAGCCUCAUGUUUAAAGGAAUGAGAUGUGGGGAGCCAGAGGCUUCGGAUCUGCUCUCUCCUCGGGUGGGCUGUGAGACCUUGGGAAACCUCCCACCUCUUUGGUCCUCAGUUUCUUCAAGUGUAACAGAGGGAUGCUCAUCCCUGAGUCGUCGCUCUCCCAGACAAGUUAAGAGGAGAGUCAUGAAGCUAUAAAUGCGUGGUAGCAUCUGCCCCACAGCAUCAAGGCCAACACACCUCCCUCCCCUCCCGGCUUGGGGCCCUUUGGUGGUGAGUCGAGGUUGAUGCCAGGCCUGCAUCCUGCACACGCUCUCUGGGAACAUCCCCCAAGACGCCGUCCUGAAAGGAGGGUUCAGUGUCUCUGGGUUACAGAGGCAAAAUCCAGCCAGGAGGGAGGAAGUGACUCAGCAUGGGGGCCGGGGAAGGCCCCGGGCCAGGCCUCCCACUCCCAGGACAGCUUGCCCUGUGCUUUGUACUCAACCCAGCGCCUUUCAUCCCAGCAUCUC
ensembl:lncRNA